rnacentral:rRNA from 1 species
AACGAACGCUGGCGGCGUGCCUAACACAUGCAAGUCGUGCGAGAAAGUUCCUUCGGGAGCGAGUAAAGCGGCGCACGGGUGAGUAACACGUAGGUAACCUGCCCCCCAGUCUGGAACGAACUAGAGGAAACUACUAGCUAAUGCCGGAUGAGACCACGAUCCCUUCCGGGGUUGGCGGCCCAAAGAAUGGCCUCUACUUGUAAGCUAUCGCUGAGGGAUGGGCCGUGCGGGCCAUUAGCUUGUUGGUGAGGUAACGGCUCACCAAGGCUGUGAUGGCUAGCUGGUCUGAGAGGAUGACCAGCCACACUGGGACUGAGACACGGCCCAGACUCCUACGGGA